AGAUGAUCUCUGGGAUGCGGGAUGCGGGGGAUAUCUUCCCUGUGAAAAAGCACUUGCUUGUACUUUUAAAGCUCGUGCACGAGCCUGUGCUAUGUGCGCGCGGGCAAAACGUGGAUUUAUAUUGAAUUGUAAAAACACCGCACUUGAGCGGAUGCAGCAUAGGAGUCUGCUGGUUGAUUUCGAGUAGCUGGCCAUCGCUUUCCAUUCGCCCCGCGCCCGAUGCUGCAGGAGUCGUCUCCCCUACUGACUGGAUACAUGAAAAAAUUCCCGUAAACGACAUCUCCCCCGCUAUAACGGGCCGGAAGAUAAUUACUGCGUUGACGUGUUGAUAUACAUAUAUUUUAAAAUAUCAAAUAUGAAUCAUGCAUUUGAUAUUUCUAGCAAAUUUGCUCGUGAGCAUCCUUGCAUCCGGGCUCCAUUCAUCCAUAGCAUCAAUCGGAGGAGAGAAUGAGGUGGUGGAGAGGGACACAGAACCAUUAUUGUUGGAGCGAAUGGCAACUGCAGCAGCGGUCACAGACAACACAAGUCACCGUGAGGCUGAGCAUGCGAUCACCUACCCCUCUCGGCUCAUCUACUACCUGAAGGAGGACUCAGAGAGCACUUACCAUGACCUGGACACCCGGGCUAGGAACCAGGUCACAGAUGGUCAUGACCAGGCAAUCCAUCUUGCCCAAGCCAGUUUCCAGUUAGAGGCCUUUGGCUCCAGAUUUGUACUGGACCUAACGUUAAACAAUGACUUGUUGUCGUCGGAUUAUGUGGAGAUCCACUAUGAGGAGGGUAAACCUGUUCUAUCAAAGGGUGGUGAGCACUGUUACUACCACGGCCAGGUGAGGGGGAAAGAUGAUUCCCACGUGGCCUUGUCUACCUGCAAUGGGCUGCACGGAAUGUUUGACGAUGGACUCUAUCUCUAUAUAAUGGAGCCUUUGCAACAGACUCACUCAAUUGAUACAGCCGCACGGCCCCACUCACUGCGCAGGACGCCCAGCCUCCAGGGGAACAGUGACUCCGAGGAACUGGUGAAGGACGAGCGGCUGCUUUCGGAGCUGGACGACAUGGCCUGGCUGAAGCACAGGAAAAAGCGGGCUAUGCCUCGGAAUGUAUUUGAGGAGAUGAAGUAUUUGGAGAUUAUGAUCGUCAGUGACCAUAAUAUGUAUAAGCGACUCAAGACCAAGCAGCACACCAGGAACUCAGCCAAGUCAGUGGUGAACAUUGUUGAUGCUAUCUUUAAGGAGCACCUGCACACACGGGUGGUUCUGGUUGCCGCGGAGAUCUGGACGGACAAGGACCAGAUUCCCAUCAGUGUGAAGCCUCUGGACAUGCUGAAAGAUUUCUCUAAGUACCGGGCGCAGAGCAUCAAGCAGCACGCUGACGCUGUGCACCUCUUCUCCAAUGUGACCUUCCACUAUCACCGAAGCAGUGUAGCGUACUUCGGGGGCAUGUGCUCUGUGAGCCGAGGAGUAGGGGUCAACGAGUAUGGCACCACAUGGACUAUGGCUUCAUCACUCUCCCAGAGCUUGGCACAGAACCUCGGCAUCCAGUGGGAUCCAGCCGCCAAGAGAAAGGAAUGUGGCUGCUCUGACUCCUGGGUGGGCUGCAUCAUGGAGGAUACUGGGGUCCAGCAUCCCCGGAAGUUUUCCAAGUGCAGCAUCUCAGACUACAAGGAGUUCCUACUGAAGGGCGGUGGAUCAUGUCUUUAUAACAGGCCAACCAAGCUGUUUGAAUCCACAGAGUGUGGGAAUGGAUACAUUGAGGUGGGAGAGGAGUGUGACUGCGGAGAUAGAACAGAGUGCUACAAGGAGUGCUGUAAGAAGUGUUCCCUAGCUAAUGGUGCACAUUGUGCUGACGGACCUUGCUGCAACAACACUUGUCUGUUCUACCCACGUGGUUACAGUUGUCGCUAUGCGGUGAAUGACUGUGACAUCUCAGAGACAUGCUCAGGAGACUCUGGCCAGUGCCCUCCCAAUCUCCACAAACAAGAUGGCUACCAAUGUCAAGUCGACCAGGGACGCUGCUACAGUGGAGAGUGUAAGACCAGAGGAAACCAGUGCAAAUACCUCUGGGGCCCAAAGGCAGGAGGCUCUGAGAAGUUCUGCUACGAGAAGCUAAACACAGAAGGAACCGAGAAGGGUAACUGUGGAAAGGAUGGAGAUAAGUGGCUCCAGUGCAGCAAGCACGAUGUGUUCUGUGGGUUCCUGCUGUGCAGUAACAUCGGACACAACCCCCGCAUCGGCAUGAUGAAGGGAGACAUCACUCGUACCUCCUUCAACCAUCAGGGCAGGCCGGUGAACUGCAGUGGUGGCCAUGUUCUUUUGGACGAUGAGACUGACUUAGGCUACGUGGAGGACGGAACGCCCUGUGGGCCGUCCAUGAUGUGCCUUGACCACAAGUGUCUGCCCAUCCAGUCCCUCAACAUGAGCACCUGCCCCAGCGGGCCCAACGGCCAGGUGUGCUCAACCCACGGGGUGUGUAACAACGAAGCGACGUGCACCUGUGACACCACCUGGGCGGGGACAGACUGCAGCAUGCCCGACCCUCCCAAGGAGCCUGCGCCCUCAGAAGAAGAAGAACCAAAGGGUCCUAGUGCCACCAAUCUUAUAAUAGGCUCCAUCGCCGGAGCCAUCCUGGUGGCUGCCAUAGUGCUGGGGGGGACCGGAUGGGGCUUUAAGGUUCGAGGGUGAGAGUUUAAGCGGAAGUGGUGAGAGAGAAGCCAGGGCCAUAUUGUUGGCCGCAGCCUUUGUGCCAUGGCUGGCCACACCCACCUGGAUGGCCAGACUCCGCCCUAGAGCAGAGCAGGACUCACGGACCCGCCCACACCAGCUGCCAUUGCUGCCUGCUUCACAGACCUGAAAUGUGAAGAAGCGAAAGUACGACCCCAACGCCAGCGCCAUAUAAGGUUGGAGGAGAGGUCAGCGGGCACAGAGGGAACCUUCUGGGCUUCCUUAGUACUCUACAGCUGGACUGCACUUACUGUGCAGGAUUUUUUUGGCAUUAGAUUUACUUGAAAAAUACAUAGAGGACAAUUUAACAUUAUCCAUCUUAGUCAUGUAGAGAUGUAGCCUUUUUCAACCCUAACAGCCCCACCCACCUACCUAACAACCCACCUAACAACCCCACCCACCUACCUAACAACCCACCUAACAGCCCCACCCACCCACCUAACAGCACCACCCACCUACCUAACAACCCACCUAACAACCCCACCCACCUACCUAACAACCCACCUAACAGCCCCACCCACCUACCUAACAACCCACCUAACAGCCCCACCCACC